UCAGGCAUUCAGCCAAUCACAAAGCACUGAAUGCAACAAAUGUCUCGUUUGUAAUGGGUUUUAUUGGUUUUGUCUGGUCACGCUGGGAUACACGGCAUCACAGUAUGUUAAGGGGUGUAACAUUUCCGUCACACGCUUGAGGCAUUCGGCCAAUCACAACGCACCAGAUAGCUGGCCAAUCAGAGCACACCUCGCUUUUCAGACCUAUGAGCUUUGUAAAAAUUUACGCGUUUCAGAAAGGCGGGGUAUAGAGGAGAAACAAUAAUGUACAGUAUGUGGAAAAUAAGGUUUUUUUUUUUAUUUAACUUAACCACUAUUCUAUUACAUACAAAUACAACGUUUGAAGUGUUCAGACUUACAGAAGUCAGUGAUCAGAGCUUGUAUCUGCUGUGUUCAGGUUCAGGUUUGAUGCUGAAUAUAAGCUGCAGUGUUUCUGUAUCAAUCUGCUUUAAGUUUAGUGUGACUUUAUCUCCACACUGACUUCUGACUGACACGAGUCUGUCCUCAGUGAAGUGUCUCUUCACGCUGGAGGAGGAGUCCCGCUCAUCAGCGCUCACACUUUAUUGAUAUAUAUGGAGAAAAUCAAAAUGCUGCUCUCUGAUUUGUCACUGAUUGUGUUUGAUGAUUUCCUCUGUUGUGUCUAAUAAGGUAACAGUGAGUGUCAUUGGCAGCUGUGAGUCUCUCUCUCUCUUUAGGGGGCUGACAGGAGCCAGUUUCUUCAGUGUGUUUGAGGAGCAGACGAGAAACUUGUGCUGAGUUCUGAGUUGAUGAAGUAGUGUGUGUCGAGCUGAAGGAGAAGAUGGAGAACUGUCUGAUGCUGAUGUUUCUGUGUUAUAUGGUAAAACUCAUCACCUCUGACAGCUGCAGUGUGGAGUGGCCCUCAGUAACCAGCAGGUACCAGCCUGGUUUGGUCCUGGUUCUGGACCCAUAUGGCUGGAUGAGGUGGAGUGUGAGGGGAAUGAGACGUCCCUGUGGAGCUGCUCUUCUCCAGGCUGGGGAAAACAUGACUGUCAACACAAGGAGGAUGUAGGAGUCGUGUGCUCAGGUAAGCAGUACACUAGAGGAAAUGUUUAUCAAAGAUAAAGUAUUUUUUUUUUUUCAGAAAAUAUACCAUGUAAUCAUUCAACUCCAUGGUGAUCAGGAACGAAAGGAGUCUGAAGGGGUUUGUUUUGAGUUAAUGACUGUCUGACUUUACAGUUCAUGACUUCUUACCAAAU
rnacentral:lncRNA from 1 species